UGCUUCAUGGCUAAGCUGGUUACGGCGUCCGACUGUUAAUUCAAUCGAACAGUUGAAAAGCAAUCGGAAGAUCGAGAGUUCGAUCCUCUCUGAAGCAG